UACAUCAAUAGGGGAUGAGUGUAGUAUUGACA
rnacentral:sRNA from 14 species